GAAGUGGCUUGGGUGAUCGCGUUGACUGCUACAGUCACCGAGGAAAGUCCGGGCUGCAUAGGGCAGGAUGCCAGAUAACGUCUGGUGGGAGAAAUCCCAGGAAAGUGCCACAGAAAAUAGACCGCCAGUUGUAAUCAUUCACACCCCUCUGUUUUUUCGCCAUCAAGGCGAAAGCGCGCAGUUUACGCUUUGGUAAAUGAGCACUUUCAACGUAGAUGGUGGGAAAACCAGUGGGGGGAGUGAAUGGUUACUGCUGGUCAGGGUGAAAGGGUGCGGUAAGAGCGCACCGCUCCGUCGGGUAACGGACGGAGGCAGGGUAAACCCCAUUCGCAGCAAGGCCAAAUAGGGGAACAUGGGGCGCGGCCCGCGCCUGUUUCCGGGUAGGCUGCUUGAGCCGUUGGGCAACCAACGGCCUAGAGGAAUGAUUACCACGCGCAAGCGUACAAAACCCGGCUUACAGAGCCACUUCGCAC
rnacentral:RNase_P_RNA from 1 species